AUUAAUAGUCUAUUUUAUAAAUAAAGAAAAUAUAAUUUCAAAUAUUUUAUGCAUACGAUAAUAUAAAAUUUUUCCUUCCACUGGCUAAAAAAUCUAAUUCCGUCACUGCCUCUAUGGCCCAUAACUCUCUCAAACAGUUUUUUAUUCUUUAAUUUCACUAUCAGGGUUAGGCUAAAUAUCACAUAAAUUACUACAUUUCAUCCUAUUUAAAAUAUUUUUUAAUGUGAAAAAAAAAAACACACAAAUAUUUGUGCUUUAUUCAAUUAACUUCCUUUGGGGAAGUCAUUUAUUCUUCUACGCAUAUAGUAGGACAAUGGUGAAAGAUAAAAUAACACAUCGAACAUAUGUUAAUGAAAAUUUUAGACGAUGGGAAAGCUAACUUAUUGCCUAAUUUUUGGUGAGAUUAUCAAAGGUGAGAGUCGCUAUCAGUCAUUAGCUGUUAAUAUUUUAGAGAAAUUCUAGCAUGGGAUGGGCAUAUGAUUCAUUUCAAUCACAAAGAAUGUGCAUUUUAUUUUUAUUGUUGAUUGCAAAUUGCUAGCCACUUAUAAUUGAACAAUCAUUAAUUCAAGUAUUAUUCAAGUUUUUUUUGGUUUAACAGAAGUUCAUCUGCUUACUGUUGUCAAAAUUAUAACAUUUGUACAUGUUAUAAUUUGAAAAAAGAAUAUAUAUAUAUGUAUAUCUCAAAAAUUGAUGCACUGUGGUCUGUGGGGUUAUGGAUUUGCAUCCGGUUCACUUGAUAUAGUAUGAAUUUUUGAAAGAAGGGGGCCUAUGUCCUUUGUUCAUUAGGGCCUUAGAGAGGUCAACAGCAAAGGGCCAUAAUUGGGCUUGUGACACAGUGUAUACUACUUAGAAUGCUUUAUUGGGUCAUUGUUAGGACAGGGCAUUGAAAACCCACUUAUCCAUUUGUUGAAUUCUUUUAAUUAGUUGAUAAAUAAAUGAGUGUUGUUAUUUUUUAUUUUAGUCUUACUUACAAAAAAAAAAA
rnacentral:misc_RNA from 1 species